rnacentral:rRNA from 1 species
UACGGGGGGGGUAAGCGUUGUUCGGAAUUACUGGGCGUAAAGGGCUCGUAGGCGGCCAACUAAGUCGGACGUGAAAUCCCUCAGCUUAACCGGGGAACUGCGUCUGAUACUGGAUGGCUUGAGUUCGGGAGAGGGAUGCGGAAUUCCAGGUGUAGCGGUGAAAUGCGUAGAUAUCUGGAGGAACACCGGUGGCGAAGGCGGCAUCCUGGACCGACACUGACGCUGAGGAGCGAAAGCCAGGGGAGCAAACGGG